rnacentral:rRNA from 1 species
CAUGUAGGCGGUUGCUUAAGUCGGACGUGAAAGCUCCUGGCUCAACUGGGAGAGGCCGUUCGAAACUAGGUAACUUGAGGGUGGUAGAGGAGAGUGGAAUUCCCGGUGUAGUGGUGAAAUGCGUAGAUAUCGGGAGGAACACCAGUGGCGAAGGCGGCUCUCUGGGCCAUUCCUGACGCUGAGAUGCGAAAGCUAGGGGAGAGAACG